GAUGAACGCUGGCGGCGUGCCUAAUACAUGCAAGUCGAGCGAACAGACGAGGAGCUUGCUCCUCUGACGUUAGCGGCGGACGGGUGAGUAACACGUGGAUAACCUACCUAUAAGACUGGGAUAACUUCGGGAAACCGGAGCUAAUACCGGAUAAUAUAUUGAACCGCAUGGUUCAAUAGUGAAAGACGGUUUUGCUGUCACUUAUAGAUGGAUCCGCGCCGCAUUAGCUAGUUGGUAAGGUAACGGCUUACCAAGGCAACGAUGCGUAGCCGAGCUGAGAGGGUGAUCGGCCACACUGAAACUGAGACACGGUCCAGACUCCUACGGGAGGCAGCAGUAGGGAAUCUUCCGCAAUGGGCGAAAGCCUGACGAAGCAACGCCGCGUGAGUGAUGAAGGUCUUCGGAUCGUAAAACUCUGUUAUUAGGGAAGAACAAAUGUGUAAGUAACUAUGCACGUCUUGACGGUACCUAAUCAGAAAGCCACGGCUAACUACGU
rnacentral:rRNA from 1 species